rnacentral:rRNA from 1 species
GACGAACGCUGGCGGCGUGCUUAACACAUGCAAGUCGAACGGGAUUUAGUAAACAGAAGCCUCGGUGGAAGAUUACUAAUGAGAGUGGCGAACGGGUGAGUAACGCGUGAGCAACCUGCCUAUGACAGUGGGAUAGCCUCGGGAAACCGGGAUUAAUACCGCAUAAAAUCGUAGAAACACAUGUUUUAACGGUCAAAGAUUUAUCGGUCAUAGAUGGGCUCGCGUCUGAUUAGUUAGUUGGUGAGAUAACAGCCCACCAAGGCGACGAUCAGUAGCCGGUCUGAGAGGAUGAACGGCCACAUUGGAACUGAGACACGGUCCAAACUCCUACGGGAGGCAGCAGUGGGGAAUAUUGCACAAUGGGGGAAACCCUGAUGCAGCGACGCCGCGUGAACGAAGAAGGUAUUCGUAUCGUAAAGUUCUGUCCUAUGGGAAGAUAAUGACAGUACCAUAGAAGAAAGCUCCGGCUAAAUACGUG